rnacentral:rRNA from 1 species
AUUGAACGCUGGCGGCAUGCCUUACACAUGCAAGUCGAACGGUAACAGGUCUUCGGAUGCUGACGAGUGGCGGACGGGUGAGUAAUACAUCGGAACGUGCCCGAUCGUGGGGGAUAACGAAGCGAAAGCUUUGCUAAUACCGCAUACGAUCUACGGAUGACAGCAGGGGACCGCAAGGGCUCGCGCGAACGGAGCGGCCGAUGGCAGAUUAGGUAGUUGGUGGGAUAAAGGCUGACCAAGCCGACGAUCUGUAGCUGGUCUGAGAGGGCGACCAGCCACACUGGAACUGAGACACGGCCCAGACUCCUACGGGAGGCAGCAGUGGGGAAUUUUGGACAAUGGGCGAAAGCCUGAUCCAGCCAUGCCGCGUGCAGGAUGAAGGCCUUCGGGUUGUAAACUGCUUUUGUACGGAACGAAAAGACUCUGGUUAAUACCUGGGGUCCAUGACGGUACCGUAAGAAUAAGCACCGGCUAACUACGUG